UACAGAGGGCUCAAGCGUUGUUCGGAUUCAUUGGGCGUAAAGGGUGCGUAGGUGGCGCCAUAAGUCGGGUGUGAAAUCUCGGGGCUUAACUCCGAAACUGCAUUCGAUACUGUGGUGCUUGAGGACUGGAGAGGAGACUGGAAUUCAUGGUGUAGCAGUGAAAUGCGUAGAGAUCAUGAGGAAGACCAGUGGCGAAGGCGGGUCUCUGGGCAGUUCCUGACACUGAGGCACGAAGGCCAGGGGAGCAAACGGG
rnacentral:rRNA from 1 species